rnacentral:rRNA from 1 species
GAGUUUGAUCUUGGCUCAGAGCGAACGCUGGCGGCAGGCCUAACACAUGCAAGUCGAACGAACUCUUCGGAGUUAGUGGCGGACGGGUGAGUAACACGUGGGAACGUGCCUUUUGGUUCGGAAUAACUCAGGGAAACUCGUGCUAAUACCGAAUGUGCCCUUCGGGGAAAGAUUUAUCGCCAUUAGAGCGGCCCGCGUCUGAUUAGCUAGUUGGUGAGGUAAAGGCUCACCAAGGCGACGAUCAGUAGCUGGUCUGAGAGGAUGAUCAGCCACAUUGGGACUGAGACACGGCCCAAACUCCUACGGGAGGCAGCAGUGGGGAAUCUUGCGCAAUGGGCGAAAGCCUGACGCAGCCAUGCCGCGUGAAUGAUGAAGGUCUUAGGAUUGUAAAAUUCUUUCACCGGGGACGAUAAAUGACGGUACCCGGAGAAGAAGCCCCGGCUAACUUCGUGCCAGCAGCCGCCGCCGU